UUCCAUAAUUCUCAUGCAACCUUGAUGGUGUAUUAAGAUUAACCCCAAUGUACAUGGAUGAAAUACUAACAGUCGUGAUUAGAGCGAUUGCUUUUGUUUGACAUGGAAUGAUAAAUGUGAACCCCAGACUUGGGCAGACGUUGGGUUGAGGUUUCUCUAUUAAUUUUUUUUUUGGCAUUUAAUUCUGUAAUAGGAAUUUGUUACUUCAUUCCUGUGCAUAACUUAUUUAAUGUACUGUAUAAAGGAACCCAAACUGGUACAGAUGUAUUUAGUUUGUUCUACUCCAAAGUAGUCAAUAAAAAGACUAUAUUCAUCAGAAGGGGCAGAGGUUUGCUGCUGUUGGGGGUUCUGGGGGAUGCUGCUGGGCCAUGGCCUUGGUGGUGCCCAGGGUGGUGAUGCUGCUGCGGGGCCUGGGGGACACAGGAGCAAGGGGGGACAGUGGCUGUUUGGUUGCCUGAGCCAUGGGAUGGGGUGUGAUGGGGUUACAGUGGCUGCUGUUCCCUGCUCCUCUGCAAGGAGGAUCCUCCUGAUCCCAUCUCUGCAUCCACCAAGUCUCCCUCCCUGCACCCCAAACCCAGGGAUGCCUGGGAAACUCCUGCUUGAGCGCAGUGUCCAUGGGAUGGAGCUGUAGCCCUUCAGCCACAUGGUAACUGCAUUUUAGUUACUGCACCCAUGGACUGGGGAAGAAACAGGCAGGUAUUAGGCAGAAGUUCUUCCCUGUGAGGGUGCUGAGGCGCUGGCACAGACUUUUCCCAGAGAAGCUGUGGCUGCCCCAUCCCUGGCAGUGUUCAAGGCCAGGUUGGACACAGGGGCUUGGAGUGACCUGCCCUAGUGGAAGGUGUCCCUGCCCGUGGCAGGGGGUUGGAACUGGAGGAGCUUUAAGGUCCCUUCAACCCAAACCAGCCUGUGAUUCUAUGAAAUUAGUGUUUCCAAGGGUGCUGGUGGGAAGCAGCAUCCACAGGGAGUGGGAAAAGAGGGGAACAGGUACCCAGGAGAGCGAGGGUUGGGGGGGUGCCAACACUUACCCUGUGCUGC
rnacentral:lncRNA from 1 species